ACAAAUCACAGGGUCAUGUCAUGUGUAAUAAUGCAACUGCACAGCAGUGGGAAUCUGUCCCGUUGACCGUUAGUCAACUGGCCACCCCCCUCCUUUUUAUACUAUUUUUAUAAACUGAUAAAAGCACUAGUAUUAUCAUUUGUGUACUCCUCGAUACAGAGUACAUCACCAAUACUUUUUUAGGCUUUCUUUCAAAAGAAAUAAGCAAUGACCUAAAAGUUAUAUGGGUGGCACAACUCUGUGGGAAACAGACAUGUUUCAAUUAAACUAUCACAGAAUACUAUAUAAAAAAACAGUGACCUGGCAAAGUGUAAACAAACCUUAGAGUAAGUCUUGUCUUUAUUCUUGAUGGAAACACCCAUAAACUGCUGACAUUUCUGAUCUACUUUAAUAGACUACCCAUAACUUCAAUGAGACAAGCAACUGAAGGAGGAAAUCAAAAGCCACUGGUCGUGACCAAAAGCCAUUAUGAAGUAUCGUCACCAUGGUCACUGGAAAGAGAGAAACCGCAGAGAAGUUUGUGAAUAAGCAGCUGCGUCUUCUCACCAGUAGCAGGCUCAAAAACCGGUUCAACGUUGGUCUCAUGAAGGGGCUUCACCCGUUUCCCUCCCCAGAAGUUCAGAUGUUCAGUUAUGGUAAGGGUUCCCGUGCAUGUCUCAGGAAUAAGGUCGAGGAUUGACUGAGCCAUUUUUCAGCAAAACCAACC